AGAUGUUUUGGAAGAAAACAGAUGAAGGGUGGACAGACCUAUAGAAAUGACCAGGAAAAAUGCUAGCAAUUACUUGGUGAAUGGUGUUCUACCCUGGCAUGAAGCUAUCACUGAUUUGCAUACAGCAUUGUUGGAGAUGAAGCCUGUGACAUCCAGAUCAUCAUCAACACUGGGAAUUCACACUGCUAACUACCUCCUUAUACAAACACACACUGCCACUUAUGGAUCAAAGGGAGUGUUGCCACUGCGGUUCUGAACUAUUAAAACACAUCACGCUUCUGGAAUUUUAAA